GGAGGAAAAGAAACCAACAGGGAUUGCCUUAGUAGCGGCGAGUGAAGCGGCAAAAGCUCAAAUUUGAAAUCUGGCUCUUUCAGAGUCCGAGUUGUAAUUUGAAGAAGGUAUCUUUGGGUCUGGCUCUUGUCUAUGUUUCUUGGAACAGAACGUCACAGAGGGUGAGAAUCCCGUGCGAUGAGAUGAUCCAGGCCUAUGUAAAGUUCCUUCGAAGAGUCGAGUUGUUUGGGAAUGCAGCUCUAAGUGGGUGGUAAAUUCCAUCUAAAGCUAAAUAUUGGCGAGAGACCGAUAGCGAACAAGUACAGUGAUGGAAAGAUGAAAAGAACUUUGAAAAGAGAGUGAAAAAGUACGUGAAAUUGUUGAAAGGGAAGGGCUUGAGAUCAGACUUGGUAUUUUGUAUGUUACUUCUUCGGGGGUGGCCUCUACAGUUUAUCGGGCCAGCAUCAGUUUGGGCGGUAGGAGAAUUGCGUUGGAAUGUGGCACGGCUUCGGUUGUGUGUUAUAGCCUUCGUCGAUACUGCCAGCCUAGACUGAGGACUGCGGUUUAUACCUAGGAUGUUGGCAUAAUGAUCUUAAGUCGCCCGUCUUG
rnacentral:rRNA from 1 species